UACGUAGGGGGCAAGCGUUGUCCGGAUUUAUUGGGCGUAAAGAGCGUGUAGGCGGUUUGGUAGGUCCGUUGUGAAAACUCGAGGCUCAACCUCGAGACGCCGAUGGAAACCAUCAGACUAGAGUCCGGAAGAGGAGAGUGGAAUUCCUGGUGUAGCGGUGGAAUGCGCAGAUAUCAGGAGGAACACCGGUGGCGAAGGCGGAUCUCUGGGCCAUAACUGACGCUGAGGAGCGAAAGCAUGGGGAGCGAACAGG
rnacentral:rRNA from 1 species